rnacentral:rRNA from 1 species
CCUACGGGAGGCAGCAGUGAGGAAUAUUGGUCAAUGGUCGGGAGUCUGAACCAGCCAAGCCGCGUGAGGGAUGAAGGUACAGAGUAUUGUAAACCUCUUUUGUCAGGGAACAAACGCGGGGACGCGUCCCCGGAUGAGUGUACCUGAAGAAUAAGCAUCGGCUAACUCCGUGCCAGCAGCCGCGGUAAUACGGAGGAUGCGAGCGUUAUCCGGAUUUAUUGGGUUUAAAGGGUGCGGAGGCGGUUUGUUAAGUCAGCGGUCAAAGGGCGGGGCUCAACCCCGGAACGGCCGUUGAAACUGGCAGUCUCGAGUUGGAGAGAGGUAUGCGGAAUGCGCGGUGUAGCGGUGAAAUGCAUAGAUA